ACGCUCGACACCUACGGGAGCAGCAGUGGGGAAUAUUGCACAAUGGGGGAAACCCUGAUGCAGCGACGCCGCGUGAAGGAUGAAGUAUUUCGGUAUGUAAACUUCUAUCAGCAGGGAGGAAAAUGACGGUACCUGACUAAGAAGCCCCGGCUAACUACGUGCCAACAGCCGCGGUAAUCUGAGCGGGCUGGCAAGGC
rnacentral:rRNA from 1 species